AGGGUGAAGAUGGUUUCCCUGGCUUCAAAGGUGACAUGGGCAUCAAAGGAGACCGGGGGGAAAUUGGCCCCCCUGGCCCCCGGGGUGAGGAUGGGCCCGAAGGUCCCAAAGGUCGCUCUGGUCCCAAUGGAGAUCCAGGUCCUCUUGGCCCUGCUGGAGAGAAGGGAAAACUCGGCGUGCCAGGACUGCCUGGGUACCCGGGCAGGCAGGGCCCCAAGG